CCACCACCACCACCUUCCUCCCGCCCCACCCCCGACCUCCACUGCCUUCUGCCGCCGGGGCCGCCAAGCGCCGUGCCGCCGUCCGACCCAGCCACCUCCAACACCUGGCGCAACCAGCGCCGCCGCUCAACCACCAGCAUCCGCGCGUGCCGCCGUCCACACCAACCUGCGCGCCGCCGCCGCUCUGUUCAUCACCACCCAAGGCGACCUGGCUACCUCCAACCGUCGCCGCCCUGCCGAAUCCGGUGAGAUCCGGCCGCUCGGGUGACCCGGCUACCUCCAACCGCCGCUGCCCUGCCGGAUCCGGCGAGAUCUGGCCGCCCCGCCAUGGCUCGCCCCCUACCCCGACGACCUCCUACUACGUAAGUGCGCCAUGGCUCGGCCACGACCUCCCUGCUACGCCGCUGUGGUCGGCCCCGACCCCCAUGGAUCGGCUGCCCCCGCACCUUUCUCCUACUGAUAGGCGGCGGACACCCCUCCCUCCCCUCCCCAGCCUCCCUGCUGCUGGAUCCAGUGCGUGCUGUUGUGCGCUCCUCCAUCUAGUGCAGUGCCCGCGCUGCUGGCGUGCAGUGCUGACGGAUCUGGCAUGCAGUGCAGUGCGCCCCCAACACUUGGUCACGCGUUCUGCUGUUCGUUUCUCGCAGGCGUGCAGCUCGUCCCCCGCGCGGCGUGCAGCUCUACUCUGCCUCGAUGGAACUGCGCCUCCACCUAGUGGUUGUUCAGUUUUGUUUCCACAUCAUGGCCACAAGUGCAGGUUCUCUCGGUUGCAGCUCGGUUGGGUCGUCGCUGAAGUAUGGAGGCACUUGAGAAGUUUAGAACCAUUAGCAACCAUAGAAUCUUCAGUUUUGCAGUAAAGUCUGUAGUGUAGUGCAGUUAACUACUGGGGAACAACACCGGCAAGGCGUGCAAAAAAAUAGGACGACAGGCAGCGACGUAGCCGUGCAGCUCGCUGGUCAUGGUGCGCGAUUCUGGCUGUGCCGACAAGCAGUACAUGGCCACGCCUGCGUCCUAGUGGUGUAGUCCAGUGUCCGCGGAACAUACAGCUCGCUAGCUCAUUGCACGCGGUUCCGGCGGCGCGGGAAAGCAGUACAAGGCCGCGCGCGUGUCUGAGUGGUGCAGCUCGGUGCUCUUGUCCGUGCAGUUUGCUGUUGUAUUCGACAACAAUGGCAACAAAAGCUUGGUCCCCGGGAAGGCAUCAAACAGGGGCGUUCGACGGCGACCUGCUCCCGGCCGACUGCAAGGACAAAGGCCGUGUGGCCUCGCGGGUGCAGUUCGCUCCACUUCUCGAUGGGGUUCGCUAGCCCCGGUGCUGCAGUGCGCCUCGAGGUUUUCUUCUCCUUGGGUGCGUGAAGGUUUGUCCGUCGUGCGGGCGUGAACAUGCAGUUCACCGGGGACCUACAGAAGAAAGAAAAUCAUUUUAUUUAUUUUCACUUUUUUCUUGAAUGUGCGAGAAAAAAUGUAGAGGUAUGUAAAAUUGGUACAGUCCGUUGGUGCACUCCUUGCGGCUCACGUGGCUCGUGUUUGAAGUUUUUUGUUGUAUUUUAUUUUUUGACCUCUUUUCUAGAAAGAGUUUGUUGAAAGCAUGAUGCAGUUUUCACUGUUAAAAAACCUUGGUGGUUUUCUUUGUAAAAAAUGGACCGUGUAGUCUAGAUGACUUGAAAAAAAAGUCAGAAAAUGAUGAAAAAAUGCAUGCAGAUAGUUUUUUA